UGAAACCUGAACAAUUUGGGAAUGUUCACUAAAAGUUAGAGUUUUAGUAUUUGUUGAUUUCAUUUGUAUUAGUCUGAUGAUUUAUUAGAUAUUAAAAAGUGAAAACAUAAUCACAAGAGUUUAGAACAGAAUGGCUGAUCACAUGUGGUUUCUCUGCUCGAUGUUGAUUUGAGACGUUUGUGGUUUGUCUCUGUGAAGCUGUCUCUUCUGCUUUGGUCAAGUUUUCUGUGAAAUAGAAUUUACACUCACAUCAGUUUUAGUGGAAUUCCAGUUCAUUCAGUUUAGACUUGAUGGGAAAACCAGUUUGUCUGCAGCCAGGUACUCUGGCUCUUUGCUGACACCAUGUGGUCAAACACUGGUACUGUUUCCACUUGGAUCAUUUUAUACAUCGAACACUCGUCUAGUCAGAGAAAAGAAGGGGAUGCAAAUCUCAGCAGUUAUUGAAAUACACAACGGUCAAAUGAUGAUCACAAUGCAGCUGUAUUUCUGUAGAUCUAUAAACCAACACUCUGACUGGACGUGUUUGACUCCAGAGUUUCUGAGGCUCAUUUAAACAUCAUGAUGAAUCUCAUUGGACGGCUCAGUCCCAGUAGACGCUCCCAGUCAGGACUCAGAGUGAAAGUGAAGAUCUGGAUUCAGGAUCCCACACCAUCCAUUAUUAACUGAAUACAUGAUCCUCAGUUUGUUAUCUACAUCAUAACAUCACAAUAAAACAUGAACUGUGAACCAGUUCAUCUUCAUGGGUAUGAACUGGGCUUUGAACUGGGUGGUUUCAAGAGUGAACUGGUUCAACAGGGAGGAGAGAAUGAGAACAGGGAGCGGUCAGACUCCAUUUUCACCUGGACGAGCAGAAGGAAGGAAAGUGAGCAGAUAAACAUUGAAACUGGUGUGAAAGAUCAUUUCACUGUGUUCUGCUGUAAACUGAGCGUAGAACCAGAGGAAAUAGACCAGACCUUGAAUAUCUAGAAGAGCAGCGUGGACUGAACCACAACUGAGCCGCAGCCGGUGCAACAUGGACGAGGACACUUCAGAGCAAGUUGGACCCUCAACCACAAAAGGUCAGGACCACAGACUGAGAGCAGAGUCUCCAGGGUCCAGCUGUCUGUCUCUGAAGAGUGACUGGUCCAAAGCAGAGCCUCUAAACUUCAGUAAUGAACCUGGACCCUCACACACAGAGGAGAGGAAGAGGAGUCAUGUUUCUGAGGAGGAGCAGUCGUCCUGCUGUGCUUCGUGUCAGGACGUCCUGAAGGAUCCAGUCUCCACCAGCUGUGGACACUGGUUCUGCAGACAGUGCAUCACCUCAUACUGGGACCAGUCUGGUUCUUCAGGACACUCCUCCUGUCCCCAGUGUGGAAAAAGAUCCAGAACAGGAGCUGGAGCAGAUCGUGGUCUGCAGGAGGUUUCAGAUGAACAUAAGCUCAGUCUGAGGAGGAGAUGUGAUCAUGUGACUGAAGGAAGUGAUGAAACAGGAAGUAGAACCCUCCUCAACAGGAUCUACACUGAGCUCCACAUCACAGAGGGACAGAGUGAAGAGGUUAAUACUCAACAUGAGGUGAGGCAGCUUGAGACGGCUUCCAAGAAGAAGAUCCUCCAGGACACUCCCAUCAAGGUCCACGACAUCUUUAAAGCCUCCACUGACCAGCAGAGCAGCAUCAGAGUCGUCCUGACCAACGGAGUCGCUGGCGUUGGAAAAACCUUCUCGGUGCAGAAGUUCACUCUGGACUGGGCAGAGGGUUUAGAGAACCAGGAUGUGGGUCUGCUGGCUGUGCUUUCGUUCAGGGAGCUGAACCUGGUGAAGGACCAGCAGCACAGUCUUCUCACGCUGCUCCAUGUUUUCCAUCCAGCGUUACAGAAGCUCACGGCAGAGACGCUCGCUGUCUGUAAACCUUUGUUCAUCUUUGACGGCCUGGAUGAAAGCAGACCUUCUCUGGACUUCAACCACAGGGAGCUUGUGUCUGAGGUCACACAGAGGUCAUCAGUCAACGUGCUGCUGACAAACCUCAUCCGGGGGAAUCUGCUUCCCUCGGCUCUCGUCUGGAUAACCUCAAGACCUGCGGCGGCCAAUCAGAUCCCUCCUACAUGUGUUGACAGGGUCACAGAAGUACGAGGCUUCACUGACGCCCAGAAGGAGGAGUACUUCAGGAGGAGGUUCAGUGAUGAAGAGCUGUGCAGCAGAAUCAUCUCACACAUCAAGACGUCCAGGAGCCUCCACAUCAUGUGUCAAAUCCCAGUCUUCUGCUGGAUCAGUGCCACAGUUCUGGAGCACAUGUUGACCACAGACCAGAGAGGAGAGCUGCCCAAGACCCUGACGGACCUGUACUCACACUUCCUGCUGGUUCAGACAAAGAGGAAGAACAACAAGUACGGUGAGGAACAUGAGACGACUCCACAGCAGCUGACGGAGGCUGACAGGGACGUUCUCCUGAAGCUGGGGAGGCUGGCACUUAAACAUCUGGAGGAAGGAAACAUCAUGUUCUACCAAGAAGACCUGGAGCGGUGUGGUCUUAAUGUCACAGAGGCCUCGGUGUACUCAGGAGUUUGUACUGAGAUCUUCAGAAGAGAGUGUGUGAUCUUCCAGAAAUCAGUCUACUGCUUUGUUCAUCUGAGCAUUCAGGAGUUUCUGGCUGCAGUCUACAUGUUCCACUGUUACACCGAGAAGAACACAGAAGAACUCAACAACUUCUUGAGAACAUAUGUGGACACAGACAGUACCUUCUCCCUGGAUGACCUCCUAAAGAGAACCAUGGAGAAAUCCCUCACCAGUACAAAUGGUCAUCUGGACCUGUUUGUUCGCUUCCUUCACGGCCUCAGUCUGGAGUCCAACCAGAGAGUCUUAGGAGGCCUGCUGGGUCGGACAGGGAACAAUCCAGAGAUCAUCCAGAGAGUCAUCAACAACCUGAAGGAGAUGGAGAGUCGUGGCAUUUCUCCUGACAGAAGCAUCAACAUCUUCCACUGUCUGACUGAGAUGAACGACCACUCAGUUCAUCAGCAGAUGAAACAGUUCCUGACGUCAGAGAACAGAUCAGAGGAGAAACUCUCUGAGAUCCACUGCUCAGCUCUGGCCUACAUGCUGCAGAUGUCAGAGGAGGUUCUGGAUGAGUUGGACCUGAGGGAGUUCAACACAUCAGACCAGGGUCGACUGAGACUGAUCCCAGCUGUGAGGAACUGCAAGAAGGCUGUACUCGGUGGUUGUCGACUCUUAGAGACUCACUGGGAAGUCGUGGCCUCAGCUCUGAAGUCAGACCCCUCACAUCUGAGAGAACUGGUUCUGAGAGGAGACUCUCUGAAGGAUCCAGAAGUGAAGCUGAUGUGUUCUGGACUGGAGAAUCCAAACUGUCGACUGGAGACUCUGAGGUUCGAGCACUGCAGUCUGACAGAGAUCAGCUGUUCUUCUCUGGCUUCAGCUCUGAGGUCAAACCCCUCUCAUCUGAGAGAACUGGAUCUGAGUAACAACAACGACCUGCAGGACUCAGGAGUGAAGGAGCUGUGUGGUUUUCUACAGAGUCCAACCUGUCGACUGGAGACUCUGAGAUUGUUUCGCUGCAGUCUGACAGAGAUCAGCUGUUCUUCUCUGGCUUCAGCUCUGAGGUCAAACCCCUCUCAUCUGAGAGAACUGGAUCUGAGAAGAAACAGGCUGCAGGACUCAGGAGUGAAGGAGCUUCUUGAUCUACAGCAGAGUCCAACCUGUCGACUGGAGACUCUGAGACUCAUCCUGUCCCCAAAACACCAGAUGACCUCAGCUUCCUGGAGACAGUGUAUGUCCUCAGAGACAGUGAGACAGUGUGUGUCCAAAGAGACAGUGAGACAGUGUGUGUCUUCUUGUCUUCCACUCGUCUUGUUAGUAAACAACAGAUUCAGAUCUCGUGGCCUCGAGUUAUUUAUCUCGUUCACACGUUAUUAUGUCGUGGUCACGUAAUAUAUUUUGACCAGAUGCCACCAGGGGGCGCUGUAACUUACACAAGCUGGACCACAGCUGACAGCCUCACACGAGGGACAGAGACGGUGUGGUCUUCAUCUGAUCUGAGACAGUUUGUCCUCUCACUUCAUCAGUGAAGAACUGAUCAGGUGGAUCUUUGUCACAGCUCUGAGAUCAGUGGGACUGAAGCCUCUCCUCAUCACAUGGUGGAGGUGAGUGUGAAGAGGACAGUGUGUGUGGACGGAGGCUGAGCUGUGUCCUGAGGAUCCAGAGGCUGAAGCAGCAGCAGCUUGUGUGUAGUCUCCAAUCUACACAACCCCUAAUCUGCAUGUGUUUGUGAGAUGAAGCCGGAGCACCUGGAGAAAACACGGGGAGAACAUGCAGACUCCACACAGGAAGACCCCAUCUGAACCGGAUUCAAACCAGCAACCUUCCUGCCCCGAUUGUGUUUAUUCACAUGAAGAAUGUGUUUAUUGAAAUGACACAACACAAGCAGAAUAUAUAAACCCUCUAUAAAGAGUCAGAUACAGUGUGUUUAAGUUUGUCUUUAUUAUUGUCCACCUUUGUCCCUCAGUGUGUCUCCAUGUGUGUAGAACCACAUUCUGUGUAUAUGUUUGUUUAUGAUCUUAAAGUUCCUGGAUUCACGUCACAAAUUGAUUUAGUUCAACACAAAGUUCAACACAAUCAAAUCACUUUGAGUUUAAAAUCAGAGUUUUGUCUUUGACACAAAAGAUCAAAACUCUGGACUUAAAAAUGGGACGUUUUCAUUUCUGCAUCAGGUGCAGAGCGGUGGUGGCUUUUCUACUUUUGACCCACAGGUGGCGCUGCAGUAUAACAGCAGCACAUCCCAGUCAAAGCCUUUAUAUUCAGUCUAUGAGUCAAACACAUGGAUCAUUUCCUCUGUGACAAACCAGAUGUAACGAGAAGAAAAACAUCUCAGAGAGAAAAGUUCUGUUUCUACUUGUCUCUGCUUUAAUGCUCAAUAAACAUCCUUCCACCGAC